rnacentral:rRNA from 1 species
GAGAAGCUUGCUUCUCUUGAGAGCGGCGGACGGGUGAGUAAUGCCUAGGAAUCUGCCUGGUAGUGGGGGAUAACGCUCGGAAACGGACGCUAAUACCGCAUACGUCCUACGGGAGAAAGCAGGGGACCUUCGGGCCUUGCGCUAUCAGAUGAGCCUAGGUCGGAUUAGCUAGUUGGUGAGGUAAUGGCUCACCAAGGCGACGAUCCGUAACUGGUCUGAGAGGAUGAUCAGUCACACUGGAACUGAGACACGGUCCAGACUCCUACGGGAGGCAGCAGUGGGGAAUAUUGGACAAUGGGCGAAAGCCUGAUCCAGCCAUGCCGCGUGUGUGAAGAAGGUCUUCGGAUUGUAAAGCACUUUAAGUUGGGAGGAAGGGCAGUUACCUAAUACGUAUCUGUUUUGACGUUACCGACAGAAUAAGCACCGGCUAACUCUGUGCCAGCAGCCGCGGUAAUACAGAGGGUGCAAGCGUUAAUCGGAAUUACUGGGCGUAAAGCGCGCGUAGGUGGUUUGUUAAGUUGGAUGUGAAAUCCCCGGGCUCAACCUGGGAACUGCAUUCAAAACUGACAAGCUAGAGUAU